rnacentral:rRNA from 1 species
AGAGUUUGAUCCUGGCUCAGGACGAACGCUGGCGGCGCGCCUAACACAUGCAAGUCGAACGAGCGAGAGAGAGCUUGCUUUCUCAAGCGAGUGGCGAACGGGUGAGUAACGCGUGAGGAACCUGCCUCAAAGAGGGGGACAACAGUUGGAAACGACUGCUAAUACCGCAUAAGCCCACGGCUCGGCAUCGAGCAGAGGGAAAAGGAGCAAUCCGCUUUGAGAUGGCCUCGCGUCCGAUUAGCUAGUUGGUGAGGUAACGGCCCACCAAGGCGACGAUCGGUAGCCGGACUGAGAGGUUGAACGGCCACAUUGGGACUGAGACACGGCCCAGACUCCUACGGGAGGCAGCAGUGGGGAAUAUUGCACAAUGGGGGAAACCCUGAUGCAGCGACGCCGCGUGGAGGAAGAAGGUCUUCGGAUUGUAAACUCCUGUUGUUGAGGAAGAUAAUGACGGUACUCAACAAGGAAGUGACGGCUAACUACGUGCCAGCAGCCGCGGUAAAACGUAGGUCACAAGCGUUGUCCGGAAUUACUGGGUGUAAAGGGAGCGCAGGCGGGAAGACAAGUUGGAAGUGAAAUCCAUGGGCUCAACCCAUGAACUGCUUUCAAAACUGUUUUUCUUGAGUAGUGCAGAGGUAGGCGGAAUUCCCGGUGUAGCGGUGGAAUGCGUAGAUAUCGGGAGGAACACCAGUGGCGAAGGCGGCCUACUGGGCACCAACUGACGCUGAGGCUCGAAAGUGUGGGUAGCAAACAGGAUUAGAUACCCUGGUAGUCCACACUGUAAACGAUGGAUGCCCGCUGUUGGGCCAACUGGUUCAGCGGCCAAGCGAAAGCAUUAAGCAUCCCACCUGGGGAGUACGCCGGCAACGGUGAAACUCAAAGGAAUUGACGGGGGCCCGCACAAGCGGAGGAACAUGUGGUUUAAUUCGAUGAUACGCGAGGAACCUUACCCGGGCUUGAAUUGCAGAGGAAGGAUUUGGAGACAAUGACGCCCUUCGGGGCCUCUGUGAAGGUGCUGCAUGGUUGUCGUCAGCUCGUGCCGUGAGGUGUCGGCUUAAGUGCCAUAACGAGCGCAACCCCUCUCCAUAGUUGCCAUCAGGUUAAGCUGGGCACUCUGUGGACACUGCCACCGUAAGGUGUGAGGAAGGUGGGGAUGACGUCAAAUCAGCACGGCCCUUACGUCCGGGGCUACACACGUGUUACAAUGGCAGGUACAGAGAGCCGGUCGUAUGCAAAUACGAUCCAAUCCUUAAAGCCUGUCUCAGUUCGGACUGGGGUCUGCAACCCGACCCCACGAAGCUGGAUUCGCUAGUAAUCGCGCAUCAGCCAUGGCGCGGUGAAUACGUUCCCGGGCCUUGUACACACCGCCCGUCAAGCCAUGAAAGCCGGGGGCGCCUGAAGUCCGUGACCGCAAGGAUCGGCCUAGGGCGAAACUGGUAAUUGGGGCUAAGUCGUAACAAGGUA